AAACUUAAAUGAAUUGGCGGGGGCCCGCACAAGCGGCGGAGCAUGUGGUUUAAUUCGAAGCAACGCGAAGAACCUUACCUAGACUUGACAUCUCCUGAAUUACCCGUAACUGGGGAAGCUCUUCGGAGCAGGAAGACAGGUGGUGCAUGGUUGUCGUCAGCUCGUGUCGUGAGAUGUUGGGUUAAGUCCCGCAACGAGCGCAACCCUUAUCGUUAGUUGCUACCAUUAAGUUGAGCACUCUAGCGAGACUGCCCGGGUUAACCGGGAGGAAGGUGGGGAUGACGUCAAAUCAUCAUGCCCCUUAUGUCUAGGGCUACACACGUGCUACAAUGGGGAGGACAAAGAGACGCAAGACCGCGAGGUGGAGCAAAUCUCACAAACCUCAUCCCAGUUCGGAUUGCAGGCUGAAACUCGCCUGCAUGAAGCCGGAGUUGCUAGUAAUCGCGAAUCAGCAUGUCGCGGUGAAUACGUUCCCGGGCCUUGCACACACCGCCCGU
rnacentral:rRNA from 1 species